CCCGCUGAACUUAAGCAUAUCAAUGAGCGGAGGAAAAGAAACUAGACAAGGAUUCCCCUAGUAACGGCGAGUGAAGCGGGAUGAGCUCAAAUUUAAAAUCUGGUAGCCUUUGGUUGCCCGAGUUGUAAUCUAGAGAAGCGUUUUCCGUGCUGGACUGUGUACAAGUUUCCUGGAUACGGAACAUCAUAGAGGGUGAGAAUCCCGUCCUUGACACAGACUCCCAGUGCUUUGUGAUGCGCUCUCAACGAGUCGAGUUGUUUGGGAUUGCAGCUCAAAAUGGGAGGUAAAUUCCUUCUAAAGCUAAAUAUUGGCGAGAGACCGAUAGCGAACAAGUACCGUGAGGGAAAGAUGAAAAGCACUUUGGAAAGAGAGUUAAACAGUACGUGAAAUUGUUAAAAGGGAAACGAUUGAAGUCAGUCGCGUCUACUUGGACUCAGCCUUACCUCGGUUUGGUGCAUUUCCUUGUGGACGGGCCAGUGUCCAUGUUGAUAGCUGGAAAAGGUUCAGGGGAAUGUGGCUCUUUUAGAGUGUUAUAGCCUCUGUUCAUAUACCGUAGUUGAUAUGGAGUGAUGCAGCAUGCUUCGGCCGGUGCUUGUACUGGCAUAAUGGCUUUGAACGACCCGUCGUGAAACACGG
rnacentral:rRNA from 1 species